rnacentral:rRNA from 1 species
AUUGAACGCUGGCGGCAGGCCUAACACAUGCAAGUCGAGCGAGCGGCGGACGGGUGAGGAAUGUUGGGGAAACUGCCUGAUGGAGGGGGAUAACUACUGGAAACGGUAGCUAAUCCCGCAUACCAUCAGAUGUGCCCAGGGGGGAUUAGCUAGUAGGUGGGGUAACGGCUCACCUAGGCGACGAUCCGUAGCUGGUCUGAGAGGAUGACCAGCCACACUGGAACUGAGACACGGUCCAGACUCCUACGGGAGGCAGCAGUGGGGAAUAUUGGACAAUGGGCGAAAGCCUGAUGCAGCCAUGCCGCGUGUGGGAAGAAGGCCUUCGGAUUGUAAAGCACUUUCAGCGGGGAGGCGUUACCCGCAGAGGAAGCACCGGCUAACUCCGUGCCAGCAGCCGCGGUAAUAC